GACGAACGCUGGCGGCGUGCUUAACACAUGCAAGUCGAGCGGAGCGGCGAAUGGGUGAGUAACGCGUGAGUAACUGCCCCCCUCUCUGGGAUAACAGUUGGAAACGGCUGCUAAUACCGGAUAGUGGGGGAUGACUCGCGUCCUAUCAGCUUGUUGGUGGGGUAGUGGCAUACCAAGGCGACGACGGGUAGCCGGCCUGCGAGGGCGACAGGCCACAUUGGACUGAGAUAAGGCCCAAACUCCUACGGGAGGCAGCAGUAAGGAAUAUUGCGCAAUGGGGGAAACCCUGACGCAGCGACGCCGCGUGAACGAAGAAGGCUUUCGAGUCGUAAAGGUCUUUCAGCGGGGAGGCGAUAAGGUUAAUAACCUUGUCGAUUGACGUUACCCGCAGAAGAAGCACCGGCUAACUCCGUGCCAGCAGCCGCGGUAAUUC
rnacentral:rRNA from 1 species